CAAGAUGCCCUGGCACCGCAGCCCCUGCCUUACCACACCGCUCUUCGGAGGGAGGGGCAGGCAGGCAGUGCCACAAGAGCCAGCUGGAUAUAGGUACCAAUGAGACCCUGGGGAAGGGGAAAGCCCUGAGAUGGAAAGAGCCUGGGUCCCUGAAUCACCACGUGGAGGAAAGCCACUGACCAAUCAGGAACGCUCGUCUUGGUCUGUUAUGUGGUGCAGCAAUAUUUUUGGAGAAGCAGACUGCGAGUCAGCACAUGCUCCCGGUUCCCUUGGGACACAGUCGGGGAGCUCAUGUCUUCAGCCCCAGCUCCCCCAGCAAGAGCCUCCAGUGGUCGGGGGAGAGGAGAGAAGAGCAGAGGAGAGGGGGAGGAAAGCAGAAAGAGAGAGACUGAAGAACUGGGGGGAGGAGAGCAUCCCUAGCUACAGUUAUUGAAAACUCUGCUUGGUAAUGUGGCAUUGAGAGACUCUGAGAAGCUGGCUUCAGGAAGGUGGCCCCACCCUGCCUGCCCACCACCUGGGAUGCCACCUGCCACAACGGCGUCGGUCUCCGGUCAGGGCUGGGGUAAAGAUCAGCAGUGGCUCAUCUUCCCUCUGACACAGCAGCAUGGGACACCUGGAUGGAACUGAAAUGGGGUCCCAGCUACAGCAAACCUCUCUCCCUGUCCACUUCUGAAGUCCAGCUCGGGAUUACUGGCCCCAGCAGAGCAGGCAGGGGAGCUUUGACUGUGGAUGGUGUUUGAGCCUAGACUAGGCCCCAGGGUCUUCAAUGAAGCUCACAGAUGGAAAAGCCCAGCAACCAGGGGUCAGAGGCCCUGGAAGUUAGAAAAUUACAAGUCCCCAUCCUUCAGGGAGCUCCAGGAUGACUCUGCCUCAGCAAUUUCCAGUGCAAAUUUACUUUUUGUUUGAGUCAGGAAAUAACAGGCUGCAGACUCCCCAGGGGCCCAGGAAUCCAGCCACCGGCUUCUCCUGGCUUCUCUCAUCCUUUCGUGAGCAAGACUCAGCCAGACGUACAGGGUGGCCCCGAGCUUAAAUUACAACCACCUGACCAGAGCUGCCCCGCAGAUGCCCAGACCCUGCUUAGAGAGGGUCCCUGUGGAGAGAGGGGCUUCUCCAGGCCUCUGGCUGGUCGCAUGCGUGGCCUGAAUUCUCCAUUCCCAGGCAAGAGGCUGUCUCUACUUCCCACCCUAGGCAGCUCUUAGCACUAACCCUGAAGUGACGAUGAGCCACGGAGCCAGUGUGGAAGCUACACAGUGCGUCUCACGUGACUUCCAGUGAGAGCUGUUCCCAAGUUUACCAUCCCUCGGCGGUGGCUCACCACCCUCUCUUCCCAAAGUCCUCUCAAUAGCUUAAGUCUCUUCCCUCCGCUCAGCCUCAUUCCUCUCAUUUUGUCACUUAGAGCUUAGGGCUUUGCUCAUUGCUUUCUUCCAAAUCUUCCUUCUUGCAGUCUAGCUGGGUCCUUUCAUGCCUAGUUUACAAAGAUGUCUGGCCUGAUCCCUAUCUGCCAGCCCCUAUCCCUCCCAGGGGGACCAGGAAGCCUGGAUUUGACAGGUGCAACGCACAGGUGCCGGGCGCCCACUGGGAGUGCAGGAGGCCAAGGUCUUCCCAGGACUGGCAGCUCAGAUGGCCCAGGCAGAAAUAACCUGAGCCUGCUGCCCUUUCCUUCUUGGGAGUGACUCAGCGAGAAGCCGGAAGAUAGAAACACAAAUCUGGUCCUGGAUCUUGCAGAGCCAAUCACAGGCAAGGCCACAGCCUUAAGGCUGUCUACGGAGAGGACCUGGAGCCAGCCACAGGGCUGGACGCUGAAAAGACGCUCAACCUCAUUUAGCAGGAGACAAGCGCAAAUGAAAACUAUACCCAGACCCCAUUUUCCACAGAGCAGAUUGGCAGAGAUGCAAGCUUUCAGGACACACUCACUUGGCAAGAAGCGGAGGCCACUCUCCCGCUUUGCUAGCAGGCUGUAAAAUGAUACAAUCUCCUCGGAAGGCAAGUUGGCAAUAUCUAUCUACUAAGUGCACAAAUUCUUUGACCCAGCAAUUCUACUUGUACAAACGGAACACCUAGCUAUAUGUGCACAUUUAUGACAUGACCCAGGUGGCAUUGUUUGUAAUAAUGACAAAGGACUGGAGGCUCCUACAUAGGUGACUGGUUCCACACUUGCGGUGUCCCCAUGCGAUGGAUCACAGUAGGCAGAACAGAUAAUUGGAACCACUGAUGGAUGAAUAUGGAACCGUGUCCUAGAUACAUUGGAAAGAGGAAAAACAAAACAAAAGAAAUUGAGGAGCAGAACGGGCUGUGGGGCUGGCUGGUUUCAAUUCUCGAUGAAUGGAUGAAAUGGCACACUCCCAUUUGGGUAAAGGAGGGUAACAGAGAAGCAAUGUCUAUGCUGGUCUAAUGUGUGUGCUAAGGAAUAUCUCCGGAUGGAUACCCCAGAUUGGUUUCAUUAGCUAUACAGAGGCAAGCAUAUACCUUUUUAUAACUUGAGCAUUUUAAAAUAUGUUAGCUGGGCCGGGUGGCACGUGCCUGUAGUCCCAGCUACUUGGAAGACUGAGGCAGAAGAAUCACUCGAAGCCUGGAGUUCAAGUCUACAGUGAGCCAUGAUGGGGUCUAUGAAUAGCCACUGCAUUCCAGCCUAGGCAACACAGUGAGACCCUCAUCUCUAAAAACAAUAAAAACUCAAAAAUAUUUUUUUGAACUAGGCAAACAUGUUACUUAUUUUUAAAAAAUAAACAGUUUAAAAGGUGAGGCCAGGCAUGGUGGCACACGCUUGUAAUCCCAGCACUUUGGGAGGCCGAGGCAAGCAGAUCAUGAGGUCAAGAGAUCGAGACCAUCCUGGCCAACACGGUAAAACCCCGUAUCUACUAAAAAUACAAAAAUUAGCUGGGCAUGGUGGCGCUUGUCUGUAGUCCCAGCUACUUGGGAGGCUGAGGCAGGAGAAUCGCUUGAACCCGGGAGGUGGAGGUUGCAGUGAGCCGAGAUCCCGCCACCGCACUCCAGCCUGGCAACAGGGUGAGGCUCUGUCUCAAAAAAAAAAAAAAAAAAGUGGUGAGCCCCAGCUCGGUAAUGGAAUAAAAUGACACCAGUACUUGAGAGGCAAGCAAGUUCCAGGAUAGAACGAGGUGGUGGAGGGAAGCGAUCAUUCCAUUUUACAUUCAUAUUUUGCAAACAGUUUCUCCUUUUCUGUUGCUGCUUUCAAUCCAGAGGCAGUCCUUUCUUUUCAGAUGAAGAAUGGAGGCUCAGAGAGGGGAGGUGACUUUGUGGAAGUCACACAGCAAGUGGCUGAGCCAAGACUCACAACCAGGUAUUUUUGUUUUGUUUUGUUUUGUUUUUUGAGAUGGAGUUUUGCUUCUGUUGCCCAGGCUGGAGUGCAGUGGCACGAUCUCAGCUAACUGCAACCCCCACCUCCUGGAUUCAAGCGAUUCUCCUGCCUCAGUCUCCCGAAUAGCUAGGAUUACAGGCACCCGUCACCACAUCUGGCUAAUUUUUGUAGUUUUAGUAGAGACGGGGUUUCACCAUGUUGGCCAGGCUGAUCUCGAACUCCUGACCUCAGGUGACCCACCUGCCUCGGCCUUCCAAAGUGCUGGGAUUCCAGGCGUGAGCCACCACACCCAGCCUUGUUUUGUUUUGUUUAUGAGACAGGGUUUUCCUUUGUCACCCAGGCUAGAGUGCAGUGGUGCAAUCUCAGCUCACUGCAACCUCUGCCGCCAGGAUUCAAGCAAUCCUCCUGCCUCAGCCUCCCUAGUAGCUGGGACUACAGGUAUGCACCACCACACCCGGCUGAUUUUUGUAUUUUUAAUAGAGACAGGGUUUCACCAUGUUGGCCAGGCUGGUCUCGAACUCCUGACCUCAGGUGAUCCGUCAGCCUCAGCCUCCCAAAGUGCUGGAAUUAUAGGCAUGAGCCACCAGGCCUGGCUGCAUCCAGGUUUUCGGGCUCCCCAUCACAUGCUUUUUUCUACCUCAAUCUAUAGCAGACAAGACCUGGGGUCUUGGGUCACUGCUAUCCCCAUUUCCACCUAGAACAUGAUCUAGACCACGGUACAUAGGGGCUCAGGAACCAGCUGUCAGAGAAUGGCGUCAGAUUCUAGCUCAGCUACAUCCUACCUGAGUGACUCUUAGGGGAGUUACUUUUUGGACUGUGCUGUGGUCUGUUUGUGCCCCACCUAAAUUCAUAUGUUGAAACUUACUCUCCAAUGUGAUGGUAUUAAGAGGUGGGGCAUUUGGGAGGUGAUUAGUGCUCUUAUAAAAGAGGCUGGAGUGCCGGGUGUGGUGGCUCAUGCCUGUAAUCCCAGCACUUUGGGAGGCUGUGACGGGUAGAUCACCUGAGAUUGGGAGUUCGAGACCAGCCUGACCAACAUGGAGAAACCCCGUCUCUACUAAAAAUACAAAAUUAGCCGGGCAUGGUGGUGCAUGCUGUAAUCCCAACUACUCAGGAGGCUGAGGCGGGAGAAUCGCUUGAACUCGGGAGGUGGAGGUUGCAGUGAGCCAAGAUCGUGCCAUUGCACUCCAGCCUGGACAACAAGAUGGAAUACUGUUUCAAAAAAAAAAAAAAAAAAAGAGGCUGGAGGGAGCUUGUCCACUUUUGCCCUGUGAAGACACAGCAAGAAGGUGCUAUCUUUGAAGCAGAGAGUGAGGCCAGGUGCGGUGGCUUAUACUGGUAAUCCCAACACUAUGGGAGGCUAAGAGGAGAGGAUCACUUGAGCCCAGGAGUUUGAGACCAGCCUAGGCAACAUGACAAAACCCUGUCUCUACAAAAAAUCCCAAAAUUAGCCAGAUGUGGUGGCACAUGCCUCUAUUAGGGAGGCUAGGUUGGAGAAUUGCUUGAGCCCCAGGAGGUUGAGGCGGUAGUGAGCCGUGAUCACACCACUGCACUCCAGCCUGGGGGACAGAGCGAGACCCUGUCUCAAAAAAAAAAAAAUUUUUUUUUCCGUUUUCUUAAUUCACCUCCCCUUCCUUGUUUCUAUUUACUUUUAAAUAUUAAUGUAUAGUAAAACUGGCCAGGCACAGUGGUUCACACCUGUAAUGCCAGCACUUUGGGAGGCCAAGGAGGGCAGAUCAUUUGAGGUCAGGAGUUCGAGACCAGCCUGGGCAACAUGGUAAAACCCUGUCUCUACUAAAAAUACAGAAAUUAGCCUAGAUGUGGUGGAGGGUGCCUGUAAUCCCAGCUACUCAGGAGGCUGAGGCAGAAGAAUCACUUGAACCUGAGAGAUGGAGGUUGCAGUGGGCCAAGAUCGCACCACUGCACUCCAGCCUGGGCCCUGGGUGACAGACA